rnacentral:lncRNA from 10 species
ACCUAUACUACAAGAAAUGAUAAUGGAAGUUCUUCAACUGAGCAAGAAAUGAUAUUAACAGAAAACUUGGAUCUUCAGAAGCAAAUGAAGAACAUCAGAAAUGGAGCUGCAUUCUCCCUCCCCACAGUGGUGAGAGUUUCUCUCCAUGCAACACAACUACCGUCAGGAGGUGGGAGCGGGGAGGCAGUGGCAAUUGAAGACCAUCUCUCCUGCCCUCCUCAAUGCGUCUUUCAGGAAUAUGAAGUUAAAGCCAGUAGCAACAGCUGCUGAGAAGAGAUGACUAAAAGCUGAAAAGUGAAGAAUUAACACUGAUUUCUUGGCAGAAGCAGAAGCUUCAGGACUCCUGAAUUGAGGGAAUGAUCUAAAUUCCAAGGAUUAUCUCUCAGUGAGAACAAGCAACUUUCAUUGUUAGAGAGAGGAGAGAGAGAGAAGCCUUGUUGGUUGACGUCACUUGGUUCAUGAAGCCUUCGCCUAGAAGUGAAGCUGCUGAACAAACCUUGAGAAGAAUCAUCUCCUGCUUCAAUCUGCUGCUGGAUAGGAACUAAUCAGAGAGAGAGAGGCGGAAGACGGAGAAGGAGGGAGUCGAAGGCUUUCCCGAUCACAAAUCUCACCUCCACUACAACUCUCUUUAUACUUUUCUUGCAGAAAUAAUAAUAGAAAUAAGGAGGUGGUGGGGUUUCCAAAAAUCUUAACCUUCAACCAUCUGGGGAAAAGGCAAAAAUCCCAUCUACCGCAACUCUCAGUUCGAGAGUAAAGGUUUCCCAACAGUGAUGUCACAAGAUUGACCACAUUGAUCACAGUAAGACCAAAAUGAUAGUUAAGCUUUUAAGGAAGUUUGGUUUUCUCUGAGAAUGAGAAUUGACUUAGAAAACAUAUAUAAUUUGAAAUUAUUAUUUCUUUUGCUAGCCAGUUGAAUGUUAACAUUUUAAAUGAAUCAUAUCUUAUACUUCUAGCUAGUUAUUUAAAUACUUUUAAAAUAUUACUUUAAAGGAUUUAAAAAACAUUUAAAAUGAAAAUUACUUUUAAUUUACAACUGAAAUUACAGGCCUAAAUAUACUAAAUUAUUUCAGUGUGACUUAAAUUCUGAACGUCAUCUUUUUUGAGUUUUUAUUUUUACCAGAAAAUGACAGAAAGGUUAAGGUGAUUCCAC